ANACCGCUGAAGAGUCCCAUACUAGGACGAAACGGCCGUCCAGUGC
rnacentral:hammerhead_ribozyme from 1 species